rnacentral:rRNA from 1 species
GGAAUAUUGGGCAAUGGACGCAAGUCUGACCCAGCCAUGCCGCGUGCAGGAUGACAGCCUUAUGGGUUGUAAACUGUUUUUAUACAGGAAGAAACCCCCCCGACGUGUCGGGGGCUUGACGGUACUGUAUGAAUAAGCAUCGGCUAACUCCGUGCCAGCAGCCGCGGUAAUACGGAGGAUGCAAGCGUUAUCCGGAUUUAUUGGGUUUAAAGGGUGCGUAGGCGGGAGAUUAAGUCAGUGGUGAAAUCCUGCAGCUUAACUGCAGAACUGCCAUUGAUACUGGUUUCCUUGAGUACAGUUGAGGUGGGCGGAAUGUGUAGUGUAGCGGUGAAAUGCUUAGAUAUUACACAGAACACCAAUUGCGUAGGCAGCUCACUAAACUGUUACUGACGCUGAGGCACGAAAGCGUGGGGAKCAAACAGGAUUAGAUACCYUGGUAGUCCACGCUGUAAAUCGAUGAU